rnacentral:lncRNA from 1 species
GCCAAACAGAGCCGGAGCCGGAGGUUCGGGAAGAAAGAGAGAAAUCAAGUUCUAAAGAUUCAAGAGUUCCUUGAUCCACGUUGUCUCUUGGUUGGAUGUUGCAAGCUCCGUAUUUCCCAGUCAAGUCCCUGCCUGAUGGUACAGCUACUUCCCAAUCCACGUGGAGCCCUGCCUCUGCUGAGCUGCCCUCAACUCCCUUUGGCCUCUCAGUGGCUCUGCACCGCUCACCUUAUGCCCACUGGAGCCAGAACCCAUGAUGGAGACAGAUGAAGCCACGCCGGAGGUCUUCCAAAGGGGCAAUCCCAGAGGCAGAGAGGAAUUCAUGAAGAUUUCUCGCAAGAUCCAAGAAGCUUUUUUAAAAAAGAGAGUCUUUGGGGGCUCGUUUUGGUUAAAUACUGCAUUAAGAAAUAGGUGCCUACUUUUGGCUUUGUAUUUCCUUUUGUUUCCUCCACCUCCAGCUAUCUCUACUUUGAUCUGGUCCACAUGUCAGUCCCAAGACUGACAUCACAAUGACAAAAGCUUGACUGUGAGUGAAGAACACAGCCGAACGGAUAUGUGGCAGCAAGCAUUCCGUAUCCAAGGGCGCUCGGAAUGUUCGAGAAUGUUCAUCACUUCUUCCUAUCCUUUAGCUAUCAGUAUCACACAGGAAGGAACCUGGUUUUCCUCCUUUUCAGAGACAGCCUCACAGCCACACUGAGAUGAUGGGUUUCACGUGGAGUUUUCUGGGCUGCGGACGAGGGGAAGGCUUGGGUUUAGGGUGAAGAGCCUGUCUUGGAUUUUGGAGUGGAACUGUUUGGCUCUGUGCCCUUGUGCUACAACGAGCUUAUUAGGGGACCCCUCGGAUCUGAAAACAGAGCCCCUUGGCGUGAUUAACAUUAAAUGAGAUAAUAAACGGGAAGCACUGAAUCUGGUUCCUCA